UGGAAGCCCACCAAUCAAAACCUGUCCUGCCAGCAUUUCCAUUUGCCAGCCUGUUCCCCCUGAUCUCUUAAAUUUUGCCCCAGAUCCUGAAUCGGGGAGACAGAUCUGAGGGCACAUGCCCCCUGUCUCUUUUCCCAAAGGCUGAUGCUGUUAUCAACUGGCCAUUUACGCGCAUCGGGCAAGACAGCCCCAAUUUUGUGCAGUAACAGCAGGUUUACACAGAAGGGAGCGUCGACACCGGACUCACAGAGUUAGAUGCAUUUAUUCUUCAACCCAAAUGGUUUUCCUCCAUUCAUCUCUUAUCAAAAGAUAAAAAUGAGAAAUGUUAAAGAGAUUGCUGAGUCAUUGUCAUUAAUCUGCAAGCUGAAGUCUGAGGCUCUGGAUCAGAGUUUUGGAAGAAGGGGUUGAACACAAGUGGAACUGGUCUAGUCCAGGGCUUCUGAACGCUACAUUUUGGAGGAAGGCCAUCUUGGGAAGUUCCAAAGUACUUUGGAAAAGAUUAUGUUGAAAGGAAUUGGCUCACGUGGUUAUGGAGGCCGAGAAGUCCCACAGUCUGCCAUCUGCAAGCUGGAGAAUCAGGAAGGCUGGUUCUGAACCCAAAGACCUGAGAACUGGGAGAGUCGAUGUCUGAAGGCAGGAGAAAACGGAUGUCCCAUCUCAGAAAUACCCUCAUGGACAAAUCCAGAAAUAAUGUUGUACCAGCUAUAUGGACAUCCCUUAGCCCAGUCAAGUUGACAAUAAAAUUAAGCAUCACACAUGGCAAGAGGAAGUUUAUUAGGGGCUUCAGAUGUUUCGGCAGCAUGUUUUCAGGGAGCGAACGCAUCUUGGAAGUUUCUUUACUGAAUGCAAUUCAGAAGAGUCUCCAAGCACCAUGUGUGAGAGAACAUGACAGAAUAGAAACUGAUUAUGCAAAAUGUGCGAGAGAGAACUGCAGCUCUUGGUGACAUGUGGCAGCCUCGCUGGGAAAGGAGAGCUGUGGAACUCCGGGUACUGUCUCAAGCUUACUGCUGCCUGUCACAAGCUGAAUGGCAGGAGAGGGUUAAAAUACGAGUUUGUGGGCUGUUGCUCACGGCCUUCUGAGGCAUUCGCAUGCUGCACACACGUGCAGGAAGUUAUCCUGAGAGACCACGCUCAGCUGCAUUCUCACAUAGAGUGACAGGAGGAUGUGUUCCACCCAAGCAAGAAAGUAAACCAAUAAAGAGGAAGAUAGAAGAUUCAGGCAACAGGAGUCAACACGGGAUCAAAGGACUUCCUAGUGUUGUAAUGAAGAGAGG
rnacentral:lncRNA from 1 species